rnacentral:rRNA from 1 species
AGCAAACACGAAAGUGGACGUAUAGGGUGUGAGGCCUGACCGGUGACGGAAGGAGAAGUGAGGGGGAUGGCGCAAGCGAAGCUCUUGAUCGAAGCCCCGGUAAACGGCGGCCGUAACUAUAACGGUACUAAGGUAGCGAAAUUCCUUGUCGGGUAAGUUCCGACCUGCACGAAUGGCGUAACGAUGGCGGCGCUGUCUCCACCCGAGACUCAGUGAAAUUGAAAUCGCUGUGAAGAUGCAGUGUAUCCGCGGCUAGACGGAAAGACCCCGUGAACCUUUACUAUAGCUUUGCACUGGACUUUGAGCUUGCUUGUGUAGGAUAGGUGGGAGGCUUUGAAGCGUGGACGCCAGUUCGCGUGGAGCCACCCUUGAAAUACCACCCUGGCAACCUUGAGGUUCUAACUCUGGUCCGUUAUCCGGAUCGAGGACAGUGUAUGGUGGGUAGUUUGACUGGGGCGGUCUCCUCCUAAAGAGUAACGGAGGAGUACGAAGGUGCGCUCAGACCGGUCGGAAAUCGGUCGCAGAGUAUAAAGGCAAAAGCGCGCUUGACUGCGAGACAGACACGUCGAGCAGGUACGAAAGUAGGUCUUAGUGAUCCGGUGGUUCUGUAUGGAAGGGCCAUCGCUCAACGGAUAAAAGGUACUCCGGGGAUAACAGGCUGAUACCGCCCAAGAGUUCAUAUCGACGUCGGUGUUUGGCACCUCGAUGUCGGCUCAUCACAUCCUGGGGCUGAAGCCGGUCCCAAGGGUAUGGCUGUUCGCCAUUUAAAGUGGUACGCGAGCUGGGUUUAGAACGUCGUGAGACAGUUCGGUCCCUAUCUGCCGUGGACGUUUGAGAUUUGAGAGGGGCUGCUCCUAGUACGAGAGGACCGGAGUGGACGAACCUCUGGUGUUCCGGUUGUCACGCCAGUGGCAUUGCCGGGUAGCUAUGUUCGGAAGAGAUAACCGCUGAAAGCAUCUAAGCGGGAAACUUGCCUCAAGAUGAGAUCUCACUGGAGCCUUGAGCCCCCUGAAGGGCCGUCGAAGACUACGACGUUGAUAGGUUGGGUGUGUAAGCGCUGUGAGGCGUUGAGCUAACCAAUACUAAUUGCCCGUGAGGCUUGACCAU